rnacentral:misc_RNA from 1 species
CAAACAGGGAUUGCCUCAGUAACGGCGAGUGAAGCGGCAACAGCUCAAAUUUGAAAUCUGGCUCUCGGGCCCGAGUUGUAAUUUGUAGAGGAUGCUUUUGGUGCGGUGCCUUCCGAGUUCCCUGGAACGGGACGCCAUAGAGGGUGAGAGCCCCGUCUGGUUGGACGCCAAUCCUCUGUAAAGCUCCUUCGACGAGUCGAGUAGUUUGGGAAUGCUGCUCUAAAUGGGAGGUAUAUGUCUUCUAAAGCUAAAUACCGGCCAGAGACCGAUAGCGCACAAGUAGAGUGAUCGAAAGAUGAAAAGAACUUUGAAAAGAGAGUUAAAAAGUACGUGAAAUUGUUGAAAGGGAAGCGCUUGUGACCAGACUUGGGCUUGGUUGAUCAUCCAGGGUUCUCCCUGGUGCACUCUUCCGGCCCAGGCCAGCAUCAGUUCGCCCCGGGGGAAAAAGGCUUCGGGAAUGUGGCUCUCUCCGGGGAGUGUUA